rnacentral:rRNA from 1 species
UACGGGGGGGGCAAGCGUUGUUCGGAAUUACUGGGCGUAAAGGGCUUGUAGGUGGCCAACUAAGUCAGACGUGAAAUCCCUCGGCUUAACCGGGGAACUGCGUCUGAUACUGGAUGGCUUGAGUUCGGGAGAGGGAUGCGGAAUUCCAGGUGUAGCGGUGAAAUGCGUAGAUAUCAAGCAGAACACCGAUGGCGAAGGCAGUUUGCUGGGCGAUCACUGACACUGAGGCACGAAAGCGUGGGGAGCGAACGGG